UACGUAGGCAGCAAGCGUUGUUCGGAGUUACUGGGCGUAAAGAGUGCGUAGGCGGUGUCGAAAGUUUGGCGUGAAAUCUCCCGGCUUAACUGGGAGGGUGCGCCGAAAACUGCGGUGCUGGAGUGUGGGAAAGGCAAGCGGAAUUCCUGGUGUAGCGGUGAAAUGCGUAGAUAUCAGGAGGAACACCGGCGGUGUAGACGGCUUGCCAGACCACAACUGACGCUGAGGCACGAAAGCGUGGGUAGCAAACAGG
rnacentral:rRNA from 1 species